UACGUAGGUGGCAAGCGUUGUCCGGAUUUACUGGGCGUAAAGAGCGCGCAGGCGGUUAAUUAAGUCGAAUGUGAAAGCCCCCGGCUCAACUGGGGAGGGUCAUUCGAUACUGAUUGACUUGAAGGCAGGAGAGGGUAGUGGAAUUCCUGGUGUAGCGGUGAAAUGCGCAGAUAAUCAGGAGGAACACCGGUGGCGAAGGCGGAUCUCUGGGCCUUACCUGACGCUCAGGCGCGAAAGCUAGGGGAGCGAACAGG
rnacentral:rRNA from 1 species